rnacentral:rRNA from 1 species
UACGUAGGGUGCGAGCGUUGCCCGGAUUUAUUGGGCGUAAAGGGCGCGUAGGCGGCCACGCACGUCCGUUGUGAAAUCGCCCGGCUCAACUGGGCGGGGUCAGCGGAUACGGUGUGGCUCGAGCAAGCUAGGGGGCAAUGGAAUUCCCGGUGUGAGUGGUGGGAAUGCGUAGAUAUCGGGAGGAACACCAGUGGCGAAGGCGGUUGCCUGGAGCUUUGCUGACGCUGAUGCGCGAAAGCGUGGGGAGCGAGUCCGGCG